GCCUUCUUAGUUCAGUGGCUAGAAUUUUCCACUAGUAGUCUUCUCCUCUGUGGAGUGUUGCUAUGGAACGGUCACCCGUUCGAUUCGGGUAGAAGGCA